CCCUGGUGGUCUAGUGGUUAUGAUUGGGUGCUCUCAACACCACAGCUGGGGUUCUUUUCCUGCUCAGGGAACCACAGCACCCGUCUGUUUGUUGUCAUAUUCAGGCAGCUGAGUGUUGCUGUGUUGCUGAAAGCUAGGCCACUGGGAUUUCAAACAUCAGUGGGGUCACCCAUGGUGGACAGCUUUCAGUGGAGCGUCCAGACUAGGAAGAUGGACCUGGCCACCCACUUCUGAAAAAACUGGUCAUGAAAAUCCUGUGACUAGCAGCAACAGAGCAUUGUCUGAUACAGCGCGGGAA